AGUGAACGCUGGCGGUAGGCCUAACACAUGCAAGUCGAACGGCAGCACAGUAAGAGCUUGCUCUUACGGGUGGCGAGUGGCGGACGGGUGAGGAAUACAUCGGAACCUACUUUUUCGUGGGGGAUAACGUAGGGAAACUUACGCUAAUACCGCAUACGACCUACGGGUGAAAGCAGGGGAUCGUCGGACCUUGCGCGACUGAAUGAGCCGAUGUCGGAUUAGCUAGUUGGCGGGGUAAAGGCCCACCAAGGCGACGAUCCGUAGCUGGUCUGAGAGGAUGAUCAGCCACACUGGAACUGAGACACGGUCCAGACUCCUACGGGAGGCAGCAGUGGGGAAUAUUGGACAAUGGGCGCAAGCCUGAUCCAGCCAUACCGCGUGGGUGAAGAAGGCCUUCGGGUUGUAAAGCCCUUUUGUUGGGAAAGAAAAGCAGCAGGUUAAUACCCCGCUGUUCUGACGGUACCCAAAGAAUAAGCACCGGCUAACUUCGUG
rnacentral:rRNA from 1 species